rnacentral:rRNA from 1 species
CGCACGGGUGAGUAACACGUGGGUAAUCUGCCCUGGAGUGGGGAAUAACACCGGGAAACCGGUGCUGAUACCGCAUACGAUCACAGAGUCUGCGGAUUUUGUGAUGAAAGGAGCAAUUCGCUCUAGGAGGAGCCCGCGGCUGAUUAGCUAGUUGGUGAGGUAACGGCUCACCAAGGCAACGAUCAGUAUCCGGUCUGAGAGGAC